ACUGUCCCCCAGGGCAGGUGUGGUUAUUACCGACCCGCUACCGAGCGGGACACUGAGGCACAGAGGGAUGGGCCUGGCCAAGAUCACACGGCCUUUUGCUGGGGACAGGUGUCCGGGCCACCCGCUCCAAACACCCGCCUACUCCCAGGCGGCCCGACAGGAAGCGCUGGACGAAAGAAGGACCUCCAGUUGACUAGAAGUGGUGAGUCUGGGCAUCUUGGCCUUGUUUCCGAUCCUAGAGGACAGCUUUCAGCUUCUCACCGUCGAAGAUGAUGCUAGCUGCGGGGUGUCAUAUACGGCCUUUAUUAGGGGGAGAUAUGUUCCCUCCAUACCUGCUUCCUUGAGACUUCUUUCACAAAUGGAUGUUGAAUUUUAUCAGAUGCUUUUUCUGCAUCUGCGGGUGUUCUCGUGAUUUUUAUCCUUCACCUGGUCAACGCGGUGAAUCCCGUUGGUGGCUGCGUGGCUGUCGAGCCAUCCUUGCAUCCCUGGAAUAAACCCCGCUCGGCUGCAGUGAGUGGUCGUGUUGACUGCUGAA